UACGUAGGGUCCGAGCGUUGUCCGGAAUUAUUGGGCGUAAAGGGCUCGUAGGCGGUUUGUCGCGUCGGGAGUGAAAUCACCGGGCUUAACUCGGUGCUUGCUUUCGAUACGGGCAGACUAGAGGUAUGCAGGGGAGAAUGGAAUUCCUGGUGUAGCGGUGAAAUGCGCAGAUAUCAGGAGGAACACCGGUGGCGAAGGCGGGUCUCUGGGCAGUAACUGACGCUGAGGAGCGAAAGCGUGGGGAGCGAACAGG
rnacentral:rRNA from 1 species